rnacentral:rRNA from 1 species
UUUAAAUGGCCGCAGUAUUUUAACUGUGCAAAGGUAGCAUAAUCAUUAGUCUUUUAAUUGAAGGCUUGUAUGAAUGGUUGGACGAAAUAUUAACUGUUUCAUAAAAAUUUAUUUAGAAUUUUAUUUUUUAGUUAAAAAGCUAAAAUUUUUUUAAAAGACGAGAAGACCCUAUAGAUCUUUAUAAUUUAUUUAUUAUAGUUAUAUAGAUUAUUUAAAUUAUGAUUGUAUAAGUUAUUUUGUUGGGGUGACAUUAAAAUUUAAUAAACUUUUAAUAAAUUUUUACAUUAAUUUAUGAUUAAUUGAUCCAUUAUUAAUGAUUAUAAAAUUAAGUUACCUUAGGGAUAACAGCGUAAUUUUUUUGAAGAGUUCAUAUCGAUAAAAAAGAUUGCGACCUCGAUGUUGGAUUAAGAUAUAAUUUUGGUGCCGGCAAUUC